rnacentral:tRNA from 1 species
GCCGGAGUGGCGGAACUGGCAGACGCAAGGGACUUAAAAUCCCUCGUUCGAAAGGGCGUACGGGUUCAAAUCCCGUCUCCGGCA